rnacentral:rRNA from 1 species
AUGGCAUUUAUAAAGAAUACAAUUGAGAGCGCCAUUGUGGGCUCCAUUGCAGAGUGCACUUCCGCAGGGGAGUUGCUUACAAAGAUAAAGAGCCAGUUCAUUGGCUCUUCAAAGAUCUAUGCCACCCAGUUUUUAGAGCAACUGGUGAUAGAACGCUACACAGGUGGUAGUCGUGGAAUAAGAGAGCACAUCCUCAGGAUGAGUAAUAUGGCAGCAAAGCUUAAGCCCAUGGAUGCGGAUCUGGAGAUCAAACCAGCGCUCCUGGUCCACCUGGUCAUGGCUUCACUGCCACAGGAGUUUGCAACUUUUGUUGUAAACUAA